rnacentral:rRNA from 1 species
GACGAACCGUGCGAACGUUGUUCGGAAUCACUGGGCUUAAAGGGCGCGUAGGCGGAUCACCAAGUCCGGGGUGAAAUCUUUCGGCUUAACCGGAAAAUAGCCUUGGAUACUGGUGAUCUCGAGGGAGGUAGGGGUCUGUGGAACUUCUGGUGGAGCGGUGAAAUGCGUUGAUAUCAGAAGGAACGCCGGUGGCGAAAGCGACGGACUGGACCUCCACUGACGCUGAGGCGCGAAAGCUAGGGGAGCAAACGGG